rnacentral:tmRNA from 1 species
GGGGCUGAUUCUGGAUUCGACGGGAUUAGCGAAGCCCAAGGUGCACGUCGAGGUGCGGUAGGCCUCGUAAAUAAACCGCAAAAAAAUAGUCGCAGAUCGUGUGGAAGCCACCGUUUGAGGAUCGAAGCACUAAAUUGAAUCAAACUAGCUUAAGUUUAGCGUGUCUGUCCGCAUGCUUAAGUGAAAUUAAAGACGAGACUAAACGUGUAGUACUGAAGGUAGAGUAAUUUCGGACGCGGGUUCAACUCCCGCCAGCUCCACCA